CAGCACCUCAAGUGGUCAGGAUGAUUAUUGGGCCUAAAGCAUCCGUAGCCGGCGCUGUAAGUUUUCGGUUAAAUCUGUACGCUCAACGUACAGGCUGCCGGGAAUACUGCAGCACUAGGGAGUGGGAGAGGUAGACGGUACUCGGUAGGAAGGGGUAAAAUCCUUUGAUCUAUUGAUGACCACCUGUGGCGAAGGCGGUCUACCAGAACACGUCCGACGGUGAGGGAUGAAAGCUGGGGGAGCAAACCGGAUUAGAUACCCGUGUAGUCC
rnacentral:rRNA from 1 species